GACGAACGCUGGCGGCGUGCUUAACACAUGCAAGUCGAACGGAAAGGCCCUUCGUUUUUCUCGUGCUCGAGUGGCGAACGUAAGAGGAACACGAUAUUCACCUCCCCUUGGCUUAAGGAUAAGUUCAUGAGACUAAUACUGAUACCGGAUAGGAGCUCCUUCUGCAUGGUUGGGAUGGGUUAGUUUCGGCGGUUGGGGAUGGACUCGCGGCUUAUCAGCUUGUUGGUGGGGUAGUGGCUUACCAAGGCUUUGACGGGUAGCCGGCCUGAGAGGGUGACCGGCCACACUGGGACUGAGAUACGGCCCAGACUCCUACGGGAGGCAGCAGUGGGGAAUAUUGCACAAUGGGCGGAAGCCUGAUGCAGCAACGCCGCGUGCGGGAUGACGGCCUUCGGGUUGUAAACCGCUUUCGAUUGGGACGAAGCGUGAGUGACGGUAACUGGUGAAGAAGCACCGGCUAACUACGUG
rnacentral:rRNA from 1 species